rnacentral:lncRNA from 1 species
GCUGACUCCUGCCUUAGAAAAGAACAUAGCUAACUGACCCCAGAAAGAUUUCUGUAUUAUGAGGUAAUUGGGCAGUGUUUUCUGACUGCUGUCUUCCCUAUAGUCUUAAGUUGGCAGUUUGAAGAGCAUUGACAUUAUUAAGAUAUGUAUGAAUUGAAGAAAGUAAGAAGUAUGUGUAUUUUAGGUAAGUUCCUGGAGCUGAGACUUACUGGUUUGGAAAUUUGAGAGCAGAAAGGGGGAGAGCUGUUUGAAGUGUUUAUGAAUGGAAGUGUGAGAGGUAUACAAGGGAACAGUUUGGAGGUAAAGUGGGAGAAAUUUUUACUGGAGGUAGGAAAAGACACUGAGUUUAAAUGAGAGUUGUUUGCUAAGGACAGUGAAGCUGAUGUUUACUAAGGAAGUUUUCAGAAAAAAUGGGUCCCUUGUUGGUUAUGAGAGAGCUGUUGGUCUAUGUU